rnacentral:lncRNA from 1 species
CCACAGGGUUCGCUUUGGCAAUGGCAUUCCUAGCUGAUGUUUGGUAAUCGAAUGGACAAACGUGCUUGUCAGAAUAGCGGUGCACCGAACAGAAAAGAUCCCCACAUCGACAUCUAAAUCCGGUCAGACCGACCCGCUUCCUACAAGUGUUGCAUCUAUUUGGACCCUCUGCCUUUGCCUCUCUGAUAUCACUUGAGCCUGAUUCAUCAGAUACUUGUGCCAAUAAAGACUUGGCUUCCAGAUAGCCAGUUCCUACAUCUGCAUUACCAGUAAUAACUGGGCCUUUUCCACUCGCAAGGUUGCCAAUGGAGGACGCAUCGAGCUUGGCCUGCUCCUGCUUCAACAUCAUAUCCUUGUGACACUUGGAGCACAUGUUCAUGGUCGCCGCACUUCCAAAGAAACCGCAGUUGUUGAUGCAGAGGAUGGGACCUUCAGGGGCUUGGCAUUUGGUCUUAUCGUGCUCCAUUUCCG